rnacentral:rRNA from 12 species
GUGCGGGGUUGUGGGGGCCUUGUGGUUCUGCUGCCGCAGGAUUGGCCAGUGAGAAAUGUUGCGUGAAGGUGAAGCGUCUGGGAAGGCGUACCGGAGUGGGUGAGAGUCCUGUAACUGUAAGCGUGGCACUGGUGUGGGGUUGCCCCGAGUAGCGUGGGACUCGUGGAAUUUCGCGUGAAUCUGGCGGGACCACCCGUCAAGC